rnacentral:rRNA from 1 species
AUUGAACGCUGGCGGCAGGCCUAACACAUGCAAGUCGAACGAGUGGCGGACGGGUGAGUAAUGUCUGGGAAACUGCCUGAUGGAGGGGGAUAACUACUGGAAACGGUAGCUAAUACCGCAUACCAUCAGAUGUGCCCAGAUGGGAUUAGCUUUUUGGUGGGGUAACGGCUCACCAAGGCGACGAUCCCUAGCUGGUCUGAGAGGAUGACCAGCCAAAUGGGAACUGAGACACGGUCCGGACUCCUACGGGAGGCAGCAGUGGGGAAUAUUGCCCAAUGGGGGCAAGCCUGAUGAAGCCAUGCCGCGUGAAUGAAGAAGGCCUUCGGGUUGUAAAGUACUGUCAGCGGGGAGGCGUUACCCGCAGAAGAAGCACCGGCUAACUCCGUGCCAGCAGCCGCGGUAAUUC